UAUUUACGGUUUUGUUACAGGGCCAGAGCUAUUUAUUUUCUAACUUAUUUAUACAUCGUUUUAGGCUAAUGUGGUUUUUUAAAUUGGGCUUAUUUUGUAGAUUAGCUCGUGGUUUUGUAAAUUGGGAUUAUUUUGUAGAUUAGCUCUGGCCCACUCUGGUGGUGUCUUCUCCAAAACGCUUGCUACAAAGAAAUUCAGACAGUCGCCACCGACUAGCAGCAACCGUUUUCCCUUCCAUCAAUGAAGAUCUCAGUGUUAGGCACCUGUCCACUCGAUUCAUGAAUCAUCAUUAACACUUAUUUUCCACUCAUGACACGAUCUCUCAUUCAAUGAAUGAAUUUUCUCUCAUUCAUCUCUGUGGAUCCAUUACUACAAAUAUCGAUUAGAAUGGCUCCAGUCUGCUACUCGGUGAUUUGAAGGCCGGCUGUUGUAGCUCCACCGUUGUAGUGCGUCUCAUGAGAUUCUGGGAGGCUCGCAACGUUAAGAAAGCCAACAAGCUUAUGGUGUUGAUAUGCUCUUCCUCAAACAAAGAAAUUUUCCAGGGAACAAAAACAUGAGGACCUUCCAGUUUCAUGAGAGUUUAUAUUUUCUGAUUUCAUAAGAGUUCUGAAACUUUAAUUUUCCGCCUUUUUCAUACAACUCUCAUGCAGGUCUCAUCAUUUACAUGUAUCGGUUGUGAUGAUACAAACGCAGUCGGUGUUCUUAGGUUGACAUUAUUUUCAUUCCGUUCAUAUUAUCAAGCAUCACCAAAGUUCUACCUUCUCCCAGUUGAACUUACAACUUAUAUGGAUCCGUCUACGUCUUCCAGAUACCGUGUGGAUCCUGCUAUCGCAGAUAAGACUGACGAAGUUUGCAGAUUUGAGCCACGAAGAAUUCAAGAACACGUAUUUGAGGCUCAAUACUGAUACACGAAGAGGCGAUGAUGAAAGAUCGUAUGAAGAGUACGCUUAUAAGGACGUUGAUGUCGAGGCUUUGCCUAAAUCUGUUGAUUAGAGAAUGAAAGGAGCCGUGUGCUAUGUCAAGAACCAAGGCUCUUGCAUUAUUCGGCGUUUUCGACAGUUGCUGCAGUGGAAGCUAUAAACAAGAUUGUGACAGGAAACUUGACAAAAUUGUCUGAGCAAUAACUCAUAGACUGUGAGUCUGUGACACGACUUACAGCAAUGGCUGAAACGGCUGUCUCAUGGAUUAUGCUUUUGAGUAGGCUGUCGAGAACAGAGGUCUUCGCAAGGAAGAGGAUUAUCCUUAUUCCAUGGAAGAAGGAACUUGCUAGACGCAAAGGUUUUUGUGUAACUGCGAAAAAGGAAUAAAUUGGUCAUAAUAAUUCUCUUUGCUUUUAAACAGGAUGAAUCUGAAAUGGUAACUAUCAGUGGGCACCAAGAUGUACAUAUAAAUGAUGAGAAAUGUCUCUUGAAGGCAUUGGCUCAUCAACCUCUCAGAGUGGCUAUUGAUGCCUCUGCUAGAGAGUUUCAGUUCUAUAGCGGUGAUGUCUUUGAUGGGCGGUGUGGGGUCGAUUUGGACCAUGGUGUUGCUGCAGUUGGGUAUGGAUCAAGCAAGGGUUCAGAUUAUAUCAUUGUGAAAAAUUAUUGGGGACCAAGAUGGGGAGAGAAAAUUUACAUCAGGGUGAAGAGGAACUCUGGAAAACCCGAGGGUCUCAAUCAAUAAGAUGGCUUCUUUCCCCACUAAAACGGAGUGAUGAUAUCAUUUUAUCUUAUUUGCAUUUGAUUAUUAUCUUCAUAACAACAUGAAUGUUGUCAUGAAAUUGUUAUUUUACUGAAUAUAAACGUUGUAACAACUAUGAGAAAUAACAACAAAAAAAGAUGAUUCAAACUA